rnacentral:rRNA from 1 species
AGUGAACGCUGGCGGUAGGCCUAACACAUGCAAGUCGAACGGCAGCACAGUAAGAGCUUGCUCUUACGGGUGGCGAGUGGCGGACGGGUGAGGAAUACAUCGGAAUCUACUUUUUCGUGGGGGAUAACGUAGGGAAACUUACGCUAAACCGCAUACGACCUACGGGUGAAAGCAGGGGAUCUUCGGACCUUGCGCGAUUGAAUGAGCCGAUGUCGGAUUAGCUAGUUGGCGGGGUAAAGGCCCACCAAGGCGACGAUCCGUAGCUGGUCUGAGAGGAUGAUCAGCCACACUGGAACUGAGACACGGUCCAGACUCCUACGGGAGGCAGCAGUGGGGAAUAUUGGACAAUGGGCGCAAGCCUGAUCCAGCCAUACCGCGUGGGUGAAGAAGGCCUUCGGGUUGUAAAGCCCUUUUGUUGGGAAAGAAAAGCAGCAGGUUAAUACCCCGCUGUUCUGACGGUACCCAAAGAAUAAGCACCGGCUAACUUCGUG